UACGUAGGGGGCUAGCGUUGUCCGGAAUCAUUGGGCGUAAAGAGCGUGUAGGCGGUCCGGUAAGUCCGCUGUGAAAGUCGGGGGCUCAACCCUCGAAUGCCGGUGGAUACUGUCGGGCUAGAGUGCGGAAGAGGCGAGUGGAAUUCACGGUGUAGCAGUGAAAUGCGUAGAUAUCGUGAGGAAGACCAGUGGCGAAGGCGGAUCUCUGGACAGCUCCUGACGCUGAGGCGCGAAGGCUAGGGGAGCAAACGGG
rnacentral:rRNA from 1 species